AUGUAGCCACUGUAUAAAUAGGCUUCUAUAAUCAAUAAUAUGGCAGGGGUCUUUACCAUCACUCAUAUCUGUUUUAGCCUGCAGGAUUAAGGCCACAAUAACUCCUAGCCUUGCAACGCAGCUGGUCGGACAUCUUUAGCUUAUUCUCCUGCUUCAUUUGGCCUAGAUCGUGCCUCAUGACAACGGCUUUCUCAAAAAAGUAAGGUACAUCUUAUUCGUCAAAUCCUUCCACCUUAACUUCCACCUUCUGGAGUAAUUACUGAAUACUGAUAGAAGAAAGGGAAAAAAUGUGUACCUGGUCGCUGACAGAUAGAUCUUCUGACCGCACUACGUGCAGAAUGCAGCCUUCAACUCAGGCAAGUUCCUCUGCAAAUAUAUCAGUCACAACAGUUGCAUUCUUGAAUGAGUGGGAACCACUCCUCAUCAGCAGUCGCAACAGGUCGAGCAUCUUCAGCUUAUUCUCCUGCCCUAUUUGACUUAUCUCAUGCCUCAUGACAGCAGCUUUCUCAAAACAGUAAGGGAGACGCCGAUAGUGCUGUUGAUAGGCUAUGGCAGAAGAAGAAAGCUGAAGUUGGACAACAAUGAGAGUUUUCGGUUCGCUGUUACCAUUCUAAAAAAAAUGAGAGUUUUCUAUAUUAUUUUUGUAUUACCAGCAGUUCUUUAUUGGUGUUAAAUUGUUGUUUAAGAUUCAUUAUCAGACAAAUGGAACUUGCUUUUUAGUCU